rnacentral:rRNA from 1 species
CCUACGGGAGGCAGCAGUAGGGAAUCUUCCACAAUGGGCGAAAGCCUGAUGGAGCAACGCCGCGUGGGUGAAGAAGGUCUUCGGAUCGUAAAACCCUGUUGUUAGAGAAGAAAGUGCGUGAGAGUAACUGUUCACGUUUCGACGGUAUCUAACCAGAAAGCCACGGCUAACUACGUGCCAGCAGCCGCGGUAAUACGUAGGUGGCAAGCGUUAUCCGGAUUUAUUGGGCGUAAGGGGAACGCAGGCGGUCUUUUAAGUCUGAUGUGAAAGCCUUCGGCUUAACCGGAGUAGGUCAUUGGAAGCUGGGAGACGUGAGUGCAGAAGAGGAGAGUGGAACUGCAUGUGUAGCGGUGAAAUGCGUAGAUAUAUGGAAGAACACCAGUGGCGAAAGCGGCUCUCUGGUCUGUAACUGACGCUGAGGUUCGAAAGCGUGGGUAGCAAACAGGAUUAGAUACCCUGGUAGUC